rnacentral:tRNA from 1 species
GGCUGAAAUAGUGAUGAAUUGUAAAUUCAUUUAUAAAAUUUAUAAUAAUUUUUAUUAUCA